AUACGGAGGGUGCAAGCGUUACUCGGAAUCACUGGGCGUAAAGCGCGCGCAGGCGGGCUGAUAAGUUGGAUGUGAAAGCCUACGGCUCAUCCGUAGAACUGCAUCCAAAACUGUCAGUCUAGAGUCUGAGAGGGGAAGAUGGAAUUAGUUGUGUAGGGGUAAAAUCCGUAGAGAUAACUAGGAAUACCAAAAGCGAAGGCGAUCUUCUGGAACACUACUGACGCUGAGGCGCGAAAGCGUGGGGAGCAAACGGAAUUAGAAACCCCAGUAGUCC
rnacentral:rRNA from 1 species